rnacentral:rRNA from 1 species
AGAGUUUGAUCAUGGCUCAGAACGAACGCUGGCGGCAUGCCUAACACAUGCAAGUCGAACGGGAUCCUGGCUUCGGUCAGGUGGGAGUGGCGGACGGGUGAGUAACGCGUGGGAACCUGCCCGGUGGUGGGGGAUAACUGCGGGAAACUGCAGCUAAUACCGCAUGAUCCCGAGAGGGGAAAGAUUUAUCGCCAUUGGAGGGGCCCGCGUUCGAUUAGGUAGUUGGUGAGGUAAUGGCUCACCAAGCCGACGAUCGAUAGCUGGUCUGAGAGGAUGAUCAGCCACACUGGGACUGAGAUACGGCCCAGACUCCUACGGGAGGCAGCAGUGGGGAAUAUUGGACAAUGGGGGCAACCCUGAUCCAGCAAUGCCGCGUGAGUGAUGAAGGCCUUCGGGUUGUAAAGCUCUUUUGGCGGGGACGAUGAUGACGGUACCCGCAGAAUAG